rnacentral:rRNA from 1 species
GACGAACGCUGGCGGCGUGCCUAAUACAUGCAAGUCGAGCGAAUCAACAGGAGCUUGCUCCUGUUGAUUAGCGGCGGACGGGUGAGUAACACGUGGGCAACCUGCCUGUAAGACUGGGAUAACGCCGGGAAACCGGUGCUAAUACCGGAUAAUUCUUUCCCUCUCAUGAGGGAAAAUUGAAAGUCGGUUUCGGCUGACACUUACAGAUGGGCCCGCGGCGCAUUAGCUAGUUGGUGAGGUAACGGCUCACCAAGGCGACGAUGCGUAGCCGACCUGAGAGGGUGAUCGGCCACACUGGGACUGAGACACGGCCCAGACUCCUACGGGAGGCAGCAGUAGGGAAUCUUCCACAAUGGACGAAAGUCUGAUGGAGCAACGCCGCGUGAGCGAUGAAGGCCUUCGGGUCGUAAAGCUCUGUUGUUAGGGAAGAACAAGUACCGGAGUAACUGCCGGUACCUUGACGGUACCUAACCAGAAAGCCACGGCUAACUACGUGCCAGCAGCCGCAGUAAAAC